AACGGAGACUAGGCGAUCGUUUCACUAAACACCUUUGCUCAGUCUGCCUGGGUCUACCUGAUCUCCCGGUUGCUAAACACUUUAAUUCCCCUUCCCAUUCACACCAACCUUUCUGUCUUAGGCCUCCUCAUUGUCAGUGAGGCUAUAUGCAAAUUGGAGGAACAGCAUCACAUAUUUUGCUUGGGCUGGUUACAACCAAACCAGUGGAU